rnacentral:rRNA from 1 species
UACAGAGGGGGCAAGCGUUGUUCGGAAUUACUGGGCGUAAAGGGCGCGUAGGCGGCCUUCUAAGUCGAACGUGAAAUCCCCGGGCUCAACCCGGGAACUGCGUCCGAGACUGAAAGGCUUGAAUCCGGGAGAGGGAUGUGGAAUUCCAGGUGUAGCGGUGAAAUGCGUAGAUAUCUGGAGGAACAUCGGUGGCGAAGGCGGGUCUCUGGGCCGUAACUGACGCUGAGGAGCGAAAGCAUGGGGAGCGAACAGG